rnacentral:ribozyme from 11 species
UCUUUUUCUUUCUUUCUUUCUUCCUUCCUUCUCUUUCGAGCAUCUUGCUUUCUUUCUUUGUGGAGAAUUUGAUUAAAAAAGGUUCAGAGACAGAAAAGAAAAGA